UACGAAGGGGGCUAGCGUUGUUCGGAAUUACUGGGCGUAAAGCGCACGUAGGCGGACAUUUAAGUUGGAGGUGAAAAGCCUUGGGCUCAACCCAAGAAUUGCCUUUGAUACUGGAUGUCUCGAGACCGGGAGAGGUGAGUGGAAUUCCGAGUGUAGAGGUGAAAUUCGUAGAUAUUCGGAAGAACACCAGUGGCGAAGGCGGCUCACUGGCCCGGUUCUGACGCUGAGGUGCGAAAGCGUGGGGAGCAAACAGGG
rnacentral:rRNA from 1 species